AAUCCAUGUUGUGAGCAUUGGCAAAAUAAACCCUUGUAUCAUUUCCAAACCUUUGAAUAGUAUUCUAAGUCCACUUGCUGAAAAGUAGUGAUCUCGUCUCUUAGCUU
rnacentral:snoRNA from 1 species